CCUGGUGAUAGCAGAUCCCAUCACAUCAGACUUUGUUAUUGGUCCUGAUAGCUUCCACCUAUGUAGCUAGCACUACUUUGCCUUCUGUGCUAAUGUGUGUGAAGGCAACCGUGGUGCACGUCUUUCUGUGGGCUAAAUGUUCUAGUCUGGCCUUCUCCUCGAUUAAAUAUUAGGGAACUCCCAUCUUAUAAUAUAGGGAAGACGGGAAAACAGUCUGCUGGAUGGGAUCCACAUCAUGAGAAAUCAUCACCAGCUAUGUUGCCUUGUUUUCCAUCAAGGUAGUGAUAGUGUUAACCUCUGCUCCAGGGACAGGCGCUCUCUUAGUGGGGACAUACUCUUUGUUGGCAGCUUUCCUUUCAGCCCAGCCAACAGUCUCUGCUUCUUCUCUUGCUUUUGUCUCUGGUCUGUACUUGUUGAUUGGCUUCUUAAGCAGUUGGGUAGCUGUUCAGUGAUCUAAAUAAACCCUGGGCAAACUGGUUAAUUGCAGUAGGUACUUUCACCUGUGUGUAGAGGUUAGUCCUUUUGCCAUUUGACAAAGCUGGUGAGGUCCCUUUUGGGUUGUAUGUUCUAGCCAGUUCCCAAAAUCUUAGGUCUUUUCUCAAAUGGAGAGGACUUUUACCACCUUCUUUUUUGUUUGCUUCUUCACAGCAGCAGGCGCUGGGGCCAGUCUCUUACCUUUGGUUAUCUUUCCUUUUGGCAUCUUUGGUGGCUAAAAGGAACAUUGAGGAUAUUCUUAAAUGAAACUGGCAUUAAAAAACAAGAACCAGGUCUGCGGUAGUAGCUCAGUGGUAGAGUACUUGCUAAGGACGUGUGAAGCAGUGUGUCUGAUCCUUGGCACCACAGAAAAAAUAAAUAAAGGUAUUGUGUACAUCUGUAACUAAAAAAACCCCCACCAAAAGCAAAAAAAAAAACAAAAAAAAAAAAACAAGAAACAGCCAGGUGCGGUGGUAAAAACAAAACAAAAGCAAGAAAGAAACUCCCAAAAGCUACAAGUCCUAGGUGGUUAAAAAUACGAUGAUUAUGUAGUAUUCAGUUUGAUGCCUCUGUCUUGAUUCCUGCUGAGGUUCUAGCAGAUUUGUUCAUCAUUUCUUUUGUAUCAUCAUUAUAAAUGUCAAUUACAAUUAAAAAGAGGAAAAAACCCUUAAUAUUAUAAUGAAAAUAAUUUUGACCUAAUAGACCUGAAGUUUUAGAGAUCCCCAGUUGUCCAUGACCUACACUUUGAGAAGAGCUGUAGUUUUGAUUUAUCAAAGUCUAAUUGGUACUUCUUCCCUUAGGCAAUGCAAGUGUUAAUGCCUAUACUUUCCAUCCCCAUUCUAUCCUUGCUCUAUAUAUGAACUCUAUGUUUUACAC
rnacentral:lncRNA from 1 species